GCUGAGCAAACUGAGGCCACUGGGGGAGAGGUGGGAGACUGACUGCUCCAGCCUCCUGCCUCUCCAGUUCCUCUCUGUUCCAGCUUUUCCUGCUGUUCAUGCAAGCUGGAUCACUGCCCAGGUGACCCAAGAGGCAGGCAUGUGCCCCAGGAUGUUGCUGUCCUCAAUAUAGGGUGGACAGGAAGAUGGUUCUAAGGAAGAGGGCUUGGGAAGAACCAAAGGGAGUUCUGAAAAGCCAGCGAAGACUUCCUGGCACAAGUCCUGAGCAAGGGCGCCACAGACUGGCUCUCCAGUUCCCAGGGGGUGGAGACCUCGCAUGAUUCAACAUUCAUUCCACAAAAUAUUCGACUGAUCGUCGUACGCCAGACCCAAGCUGGGCAUCACAGCUGAGCAUCUCUUUGUCUGGACAGAAGACAGAUGGGCUGCCCACGUGGCAACCCACCCUCCCAUGUCCCUGCCUGGCCAUCUCAGGGCCACUGAUGGCUUUGCCGGGAGGUAGGGAUGACAGACAAGUCUGCAGAGGCAUUACAUGCAACAGGAGCUGGAGCUGCCGAUGCCCAGUCCGAAGUGACUCACCCUCAGCAUUUCAGACAUGGGCAUCAGAGUCAGGGCAGAUAUCUCACCGGGGUUUCCAUUCACUAUGCAACCCAACCUACCGAACACCUGCUGUGAUACCGCUGUGAACAAACCGAAAACAAUCCCUGCCCUCAUGGCAGGGACACUGGAGGAAGCAGAAUAAACAACAUAACUAAGUACGUCAUUUCCUCGACAAGAAGAUAAAGUCUACUGGGAAAAGCAAAGCCGGAAGGGGCCCUGGGAUAGAGGGUGGGGAUGGGAGGGGUAAGAGGGGGGAAUGGGAGGUGGGGGAUGGGGAAGGGGGUUGCUGUCUUAAAUCCGGAGCCCAGGGGCAGUGCAAACCUUGCACCGAGACUUGCAGGAGGCGGGCAGAGUUGUGGGUGCGGUCAGAGGCCAUUCCAACCCCAGGAAGAGGAAACUCAAAGGCUCAGUGUUCCUCUGAUCCCCGGAGAGAGAGGCUCUUUUGGGGAGCCCUGCAGACGGAGGGACCCAGCAGAGAACAACAGCAGGUGGGACCUGCUCUCUACUCUGUGCUUCAUUUUCCUGAGGUUCCGGCCCUGGCUCCAAGAUGAAGCUGUGGCAACACUGCACCCCACUGGGCUGAGUAGCCUGAUUGCAGCACAGCCCCACCCAUCACCUGCACUCUGAGAUACUGGCCACAGCACCGGGUCUUUGGGUGUUUCCUGCUCUCAGAGGCCACCGCCUGGGACAGAACAGACACUCCAGGUGACUCAAAGGACCAGCGAGCACCGCCAUGCCUGUCAUGACUGCACAGGGAAAGAGCUGCUCAGGUGAAGGGCUGGCGGCCACGCCAUGCUGAGAGCCGAUUGAGCAACGGCCAGGUUGUGCUGUCUGCAGGCAAGGUUUUCUGGGACACUAAUGGUUUUGAGGAACUUGGCCUUGGUGGCCUCAGGGACACUGGUGGAGGACACAGCUCACUGACUGGCAUUUCAUCACCUUCCUGCUGGGACAUCCUUCCUUCCAUCUAACCAUACUCUGGAACUGUCCUGAGAGUUUGGAUGUCACUCCCUGCCUCUUGGGGACUAGAGUGUGACUUGGCUCCAACCCCAUCCCAGGUCCCGGGUCCCACUCAGAGCCUCCCCACGGCUCCUACACCCUUGGACCUCACAUUCUUCUCUGCCUCUGCCCAGGCUCCUCAGGGCUUUCUCAGUUCCACUCACCCUAGUCCUGUCCCCAGAGCCCUGUUCCUUCUCCCUUCCACAAGGAACCCAGCCUCACAUGGGUGCACACCGAAUUCUCCAUCUUGAGGCUCUCCAACCCUGGGCUGUGUGGUCCAGGCACUCCUUAUCCCCACCCUCACCUAAAAUUCUGGGGAAUAAACAUUUCUGCAUCUUAU